UCCAACUGGGGUUUCUCUUCCUCCACCUGGAAGGACAAAUGAUGUAGGCCUCAGAGCCAAGACCGCAACUGGGUUCUCAUCAAGUGCAACAGCAGCUUUGCCAAACAGCAUUCGGAGCGAGGUAGGGUCAGAUCUGCUUUUCACAACCCCACAGCUCUACUGGUAGCCAUAGGCAAGUCACUAGAGAGCAAGGCAUUGAGUCCAAAAAGAGCAUCGUGUGUGAAUAUACAAAUUCAACUUACAA